GCAGCUGCUGCAACAGCAACAGCCGCAACAGCAGCGGAAAAGGAGAAAAAGCAGAAGGAGCAGAAGGAGCAGGAAGAGCAAGAGAACGAAGAGGACCAGGAGAACCAGGAACACCAGGAGGAGGAGGAGGAGAAAUAAUGAGUGACUGUGUCUACGUAUAUUGGAAGAGUUUGCUGGGGUAUUAAUGUUGCUUCAUUGGAGAAAUGUGUACUCAAAGAAUUACUGAUGUAGAGUCUCACUGUGCUGCCAUCUGAAACUUCAAGCUCAUUACUGAAACCAUGCUUCCUCUCAGCAUCACGAGAAGAUCACAACAGAUGCAGAUCACCACACUUAGCUAGUGUUAAACCCCCUAUCCUCUCACCAUCCCCAUGAUACUAUAAGGGUGUUCCUCCACCCAACAUCUCCAGCCCCAGCACUCUAGCAUUCCCCUAAGCUGGAUCAUCAAACUACCACCGGACAAAGUGGAUCCCUUCCCAUUGAUACCAGACAAUAGGUUCUACAGUUCCCAGUGAUUUGGGAGAAGGGUAGUGAAUGGUAAGAAAAUUAUCUUCAUGGCCAUAUUAUGUUGUUUAGAGAUAGAAACCUUGCCUAAUAUGUGAAACAUGAGAUUUCUCCUGCAGCUCUAGAAUGACAAUUGAGUGGUGAAAAAAUUCAUUUCUCUGAAGGAGAUUUAACAUUUCCAUAGCCCUUUGACUCUACUUCUAAGAUAGAUAAAACUUGGAAGCACCUGUUAGUUUGUCUCUGAGCCAGGUGAUGGAUAAAAUAUUUCCAGUAACAAUCAGAAACUGGAUCUGCUGUUUUAUUUUUCGAUGAGAAAACAGAGGGCAUCAUUGAGAAUUAUUUUUUCUUCUUAUCAAGCAGCACCAAACCCUGCAGUGAUUAUAAAACUAAAUAUUUUCUUCGUGUUCUUUUCUUUGAUUUCUUUUAUACCAUGUAGUGUAAAUUGGCAGGUAUGUUUUUAUUUUCCAGUUGUGGUAAAUAGACAAGACAGGCUUUUACUAUCAAAUUAAUGUAGGUAUGAGUUAUAUUAUUAACACACUUCUUAUUAACUUGUGUGCAGUUUACAGAUUUGACAAAAGAUUAAUUGGAUAAAAUGAAAUGGUUACUCCUCUUAUUUUUUUUAUUUGAUGGAUUCUAGAAGGCCAGCAAAUAGUAGUAAUUAUUUAAGGUUACUGAAGUUAAAUAAAUUAAUUUCAAAGCGUCAAAUACAAGCAAUUGAAGCAUGCAUUAGUUUUAGUCAUGAUCACUAAAUCCAACAGUGUCAGGAGUGUAAAACUUGUUAAAACCUGUGUGUCUACUGCUGAGCUCCACUGUUCAGAACACCUACUGUUAUAUUCUUCAAUACUUUUUUUCUCUUUGGUAAGAAUGUUAUAUAGUACCUUUUUUUCAUUCUCUCUUGGUCUU
rnacentral:sRNA from 1 species